rnacentral:rRNA from 1 species
UACGUAGGGCGCAAGCGUUGUCCGGAAUUAUUGGGCGUAAAGAGCUCGUAGGCGGUUUGUUACGUCCGCUGUGAAAUCCCAGGGCUUAACCCUGGGCUUGCAGUCGGAUACGGGCAGACUAGAGGCAGGUAGGGGGAGAAUGGAAUUCCCGGUGUAGCGGUGAAAUGCGCAGAUAUCGGGAAGGAACACCGGUGGCGAAGGCGGUUCUCUGGGCCUGACCUGACGCUGAGGAGCGAAAGCGUGGGGAGCGAACAGG